rnacentral:rRNA from 1 species
UAAGGCCUUGCGCUUUUGGAGCGGCCGAUGUCUGAUUAGCUAGUUGGUGGGGUAAGGGCCUACCAAGGCGACGAUCAGUAGUUGGUCUGAGAGGACGGCCAGCCACACUGGGACUGAGACACGGCCCAGACUCCUACGGGAGGCAGCAGUGGGGAAUUUUGGACAAUGGGCGCAAGCCUGAUCCAGCAAUGCCGCGUGAGUGAAGAAGGCCUUCGGGUUGUAAAGCUCUUUCAGUCGAGAAGAAAAGGCUACGGUAAAUAAUCGUAGUUCAUGACGGUACCGACAGAAGAAGCACCGGCUAACUACGUGCCAGCAGCCGCGGUAAUACGUAGGGUGCGAGCGUUAAUCGGAAUUACUGGGCGUAAAGGGUGCGCAGGCGGCUUUGUAAGUCAGAUGUGAAAUCCCCGGGCUUAACCUGGGAAUU